rnacentral:misc_RNA from 1 species
GAAAAACCUUGAAAGCAAAAUAUAUUGCAAUAACAAAUAUGUUGAACAAAUCUAGAUUUGGUUGGGAUGAAACAAAGAUACAAUGCGAGAAGAAUGUUUAUGAUGAAUGGUGCAAGAGCCAUAAUGAAGCCAAAGGAUUAUGAAAUGUAGCAUUUCCUUUAUUUGAUAUGAUUAGAGAGUUGGUGGGAAGGGACAGGGCAACUGGAAAAGGUGUUGAGACUUUUUAUGAUGCCAUAGA